GAGAGGAGGAGUCGCGCACGUGGUUGGAUCCACACGGCGCAGCGGCGGCGUCGUUUCAUCUCCCAAAAUCAAGCGCGUGAUUAUUUCUUUCUCCUCGUCCGUCGCCGCUGAGCACCUGCUCCACGCGACUCCACGACCGGCGACCACGCCUGACGUCUCCGACUCCAUCCCGUCGUGCGCCCGUCACCGUUCGCCCAUGGACCGCCACAGCCGUGCUCGACGCGGCGACCGCCCGGCGCUCGCUUGCCGACGCCGCCCGUUUCCCACACACUCCGACGACUCCGCGACCUAUGACAGCCCCUAAAUCCUAUCAUCCAAUCUGCCACUCUCCAUUCAGGGCAGUCUGGGAGUAGAAGUUUAGGACGGCCGGCGGGCAGCGGCAGCAGCAAGCUGGCCGGCAAUGGCUGGAUCCAUGAGCUCGCCGGCUUGCCCUCAUUGACUCGUCAAAUCCGCCUAGUGACCACAAGUGCUUCUAUCAAAAAUCACAUCCGAUAGCCACCACUUACAACAAGUGGUUUAUCGGUUCAUGAAUAUAACCACCGCAAAUAUGAUAAAGAUUAAUAGGUAACUGUUUUUAUUUAUGUCAAAUCAUUUCAUGACUUAUUGUUUGUUGAUAAUUAAACUAUGCCUUGUUGCAUGGAGGAAUGAAGAUGGUGACAUCGCAUUUUACAUGAUAUAUUCAUUUGUUUUGGGUAUGGAGCUCAUGACACAUUAUUAACUUCAUAUAUAUUAUUAUCAGUUGGUUUCUUCAUUAUGAGCUGUACAUGUCGAUACUACGUAAAGAAAGUUAGGAACCCCUCGGUUUUUCUCUAGCUCCGCCCCUGGCUGAAGAUGCAGAUGCAGAGGCGCAGCUGUUUGGUAUUGAUCGUCGCAUGUGAUGCAGAGUUGUGUGGGUAAAGGCCGUGUCCCGUACUGCCCGUUUCUGAACCCGAGCCUGAAACUGGAGCACGCAUGGUGUCCAUGCCCUGUACUCUCUCUCUCCCUCUUUUGCAGGAGGAAAUCGAGGGUGUCGCUUGCAUUGCAUUGCACCGCUCGAGAGACAGAGCAUGCCGUGUUCUGUGUUUUGGUGGCAAACUGGCAACUGGCAAAGCAAAUGCAAGUUCAUGUUGGUUCUUCUGAUCUUGCCAAAGAAACCACUGCAGAUUAUUCAGAACGGUGAUAGGAGUAGCACACAUUACUUCCUUUUGUCGUGGGGAGAAAAGUUUUAUAAUUUAGAGAUGUGGAUGCGUAUGAAUUGGUUUUACAACAGAAAGGCUGCCAAAGCUGUGCUCCUUUCAUUUUCGUACUUCUGUCUUUUUAUGAGGGAAAUGGUUGGGUGCUAGCGCAACAAAGCUGAUCAAGAUAUUCUGUCCAAAUCAUAGGCGAUAUAUAGGCUCAUUUUCAUAGACUAAUCAACUCUUAUAUAUUACUCUAUUUACUAUAGUGUCUUUUAUUCCAAGGAAUUGUUGUUUACUUGUUUUUUUUCCUCCCUUUCGGUUAGGGAGAGAAGGAUAGGUAGGCUGAUCGCCAUUCAUCAACUACCGCUUCCCAACCACUGCCUUAGAAAAAUGGCCUCCUGGAGGCUGUCAUAAUCCGGGCCUGAUUUACAUCUGGGCCAAAUAAAACUUUACUAUGAUGCAAGUCCAAUAGCCCAAAUCAAACAAAAUGUGCAGUCUUCACACUGGUACAUUUUGUCAGUUUGUUUUGCAAUUAUCCUUCAAAUACCAUUUAUUAUCCAGAAAAUUCAUUUACAAAUUCAUCCAUCAAAUGCCAUUUAUUAUUCAGAAAAUUCAUUUACAAAUUCCCAGUGUUUAUGUAUGAGUAUGAGUCGGACUAUAGCUGCUCAAAAUUGUACUGGCAACGUGAACGACCGAUUAGGUUUCUUACAGUGAAACAUGUUUAUCCGAAUUUAAGUUUUAAAUUUAGCAUAUGUUUUUUAUUUACGGCUAAUUAUUUUAUUAUGGUAGAUGACGUAUUAUUCUACGAGAUGUCGUGUAUAUGGGCGCAUGCGUCGGUACCGUGUUUAGGAAAAAAAAAAGGAAUUGUACGGGCAACGUGGCAUGCAUAUGACGGCGAGAUUUUAGAAUAGUGUUUUACAGGGCUGCCCUGUUUGUGAACACACAUGAUCAGCUCGAGUCCAUGUUUGAAACAGCUCCCACCCUGCAAAUUCUUGUACCCUGUUGAGUACUGUUUCUUCUGUACCGUAGUUCGUGGUAACUGACAGAUGCUGGCAUAGUGGCAUUGGUAUGUUUCUCAAACCCUGCAUUGGGCAUAAUUGCAUUACCCCAGGAUUAACUAGCAAGCAAAAGCAAUGUCUCUCAUCUUCGGUUACAGCGGUGAAUGGGCUUAUCGUCAGGGUUUAGUAACGGAAAUAACCUAGCUCCUAG